UACGAAGGGGGCUAGCGUUGUUCGGAAUUACUGGGCGUAAAGCGCACGUAGGCGGAUAUUUAAGUCAGGGGUGAAAUCCCAGAGCUCAACUCUGGAACUGCCUUUGAUACUGGGUAUCUUGAGUAUGGAAGAGGUAAGUGGAAUUCCGAGUGUAGAGGUGAAAUUCGUAGAUAUCGGGAGGAACACCAGUGGCGAAGGCGGCUUCCUGGCCUGUUCUUGACGCUGAGGCGCGAAAGCUAGGGGAGCAAACGGG
rnacentral:rRNA from 1 species